CACUGACAUGUAGCUCUGAUUGUGUAUAGUAGUUAUUUCUUUUCUUUGUUUACAUGAUCGAAAUCACUUGAACAUAAACAAAGAAAUAAAGACGAAAACCGCACCGGAAGGUAAAAACUACAAGUCACAAGGUGAAAAUUACAAGUCCCAGCUGUGUUUAGGGAGGAGCAGUGAAAGCGUUGAUCCUCCGUUCAGAGCAUCAGGAGGAGGAAGGUGGAGCUGAGGCAGACUAACUCCACCCUGACAUCAAGAAGAUGGAGGAAGAGGACGGAGCAGCAUCUGCAGCAUCCAGCUGUGUGUGUGUGAGGAGUGAUGGGGUCACACAAACACCUCCACAUUACAGUCAUGGACCUGCAGCAACAAAGUUCUUCAAUCAUGGAGCUCAGCUGACCAUAGGGAGGAAGAGGAAGAGCAGUGGUGUUUGUGAGGAGGAGCAGCUGUCCUGCUGUGCUUUGUGUCAGGACAUCCUGAAGGAUCCAGUCUCUACCGGCUGUGGACACUGGUUCUGCAGACAGUGCAUUUCCUCAUACUGGGACCAGUCUGCUUCAUCAGGAGACUCCUCCUGUCCCCAGUGUGGAGAAAGAUCCAGAACCAGAGCUGGACUGCAGACGGCCAGUCAGAGCAGCUGUGUACAAACAGAUGUUGGUCUGCAGGAG